AGGAUAACCCAAUUCAAGUCUAGAAGAUUCUUUAAGCCAUUCGAGAAAAUCAUCACGAUGGGAGACGAAGAGAAAUUCCUCAAGAUCAAGCCUUUCGACGGAACGGGUUUCAAUAAUUGGAAGUUCAGGAUAUUGGCGUUCCUGGAACAGUUGGAAAUCGCGCACUGUGUCGAGAAGGAAGCGGAGAAGGAAGACUUCUGGGAAAUCGUGCAUGAGGAUACAGCGGCUGUAAAGAAGGAGGAGGAGCAGAAGGCGUUUCGAAAGAAACAGGACAACAAGUGUCGUUCGGUCCUGAUCGGAGCUGUCGCCGAUAGUCACCUGGAAUCAAGGUCUGUUGAAAUACCAGGUCACAUAUUAACCCCGUUUUCACAGCUAAGCUGAAGAAGAAUCAGCUAAGAAAAGUGACGUCUGGAUUACCGCGUGUAUGUACAAGGGAUGUGAUUGUAUGUGUGCGACGCUAGUUUCCAAUGUUUACGAUCUGAAUGAUGCGAAACAACAAGAAGGAAAUUAAGUUAACAUUUUCCAUAAAUUUAAGAUAAAAUCAUUGUGCAGUGAUUUGUGAUCACAUAAAUUAUUCAUCGCGCAAUGUCUGUACUAUUACAAUCUAAUGUUCGUUGCUCAUUUCAUCAUCUGGAAAGUGGUGCCUCCUAGGCUAGACCGUAUAUAUCAAACCCAAUUCGAUGAAAUUGAAUAAACGCGCCAACAGUGAGUUUGGUCACCCGUCCUAAUUAUAUGUAGCCAUUUGGUUGUGGUUUCCGUGUCGGAUGGUGGUAUAUGAUUCUCGUACACACGGCGGAAGCAAAAUCACUUGUUAUGAUUCUAUUAUUUGGCGCUUCCAGAUUUCAUCCAUCCAGAUCCAGAGAAACAUUACAGAACCAACGUGAUUUAGUUUUUGAGCUAGCGUUAUAUACAAUUCCGGAAGUGAUGUUUUCGACGGUCCGAACUACUCAAUCCUGAUAAAGGGCUGUAUAAGCGAAUUACACUACUCUUACAAGCUGAACCAAACAUAUUUUAUAAACAUUAUUCGUGCGACUUAAUGCAAAAAUAGAACAGCUACAGUUAGUGAGGGAAACGGUAUCGCUAUCAACAAUUUAAUCAUCUUUUAAAACAUUUAAAAGGAAAUUCUACAUCACAGUUCAUGUAUUCUACGCUUAAGCACAUGUACGCGUUACUAAAGAACGUAUAUAGAUUAAUUGAAUAAUAUUUAACAUGUAGAAAAACUGGUCGCACAGUUUUUAUAUGUUGAGAAAUUUAAGGUUAAUUGUUAUUAGUUUUUAGCUUCAUCGUUGCUCUCGUCUUUUUUUUUUUUUUUUUUGUUAUCGCGGAGUGAAACCUUCAAAAGGCACCCACGACUUCCAUACCAACCGUCCAUGUCGUGGGUAGUGUGGGAUUCAUUGAUCGUAACCCAUCUGUAUUACAGAUUAGCUUACGAUCAAUGCGACCGCACUAAAACACUCCGCGUACCUUUUAUCUUCCUUUAGUCGCUUGUGUGAUGGCCCAUCUUGAUCCUAAGAAUUCCUCCACGCUGAUAUCUAGAAAAGAAAUAGUAAGAAAAGAAAAGAAAAAGAAAAGAAAAGAAAAGAAAAGAAAAAGAAAAAAAAGAAAAAAGAAGACAAAAAGAAGCUGGCUGCCAUCCGGGAUAAGUUGCUCCGUCACGGUUGAGGCUUCUGGUUAUCCAUCACUCAUCAUUAGGUUCAUUUUAAAUCGUUUUUCGUAUGCUAGUUUCAGUGGGCUUUCCUCAUUAUUUUCGUUAGAUGAGAAGGACAUAUAUUUUCGGAUACUUGUAGGAUAUUCUUUUCUAUACACCUGUUCGACAGAUUUAGCGUCAUUAGAUUGGUCUGACGUUAAGACAUUCCAGUUGCCUGGAAUGCCUGCCCCCCUCCUGGUUGGCCAUGUACCAUCAUCCGCCCAAGGGGUUGGGACUGGGCCCGUGUACCCAAGCUUGGAUAUACGAUGAUACAUGUUACCACUGCACGAAAUGGACGUCGCAGGAUAGGAGUUGAGUAAGAGAGCCUAUAUUAACCUUCAAGGAGGUGUCGGAUCUUACCCCAUUUGCAGAUAAUUUGGUGGUAUAGUGCGUUUAGUUUACUAUCCUUCUCAUCUUUUUAAUUCCUUUUGGAUCCUGCUGUUGCGAUUUUCUUUUGCGGCUAGUUGUGCCAUUAGCUUCAAAGCAGGCUUUCAUGUUCAAAUAUCGCAUGCGAACUAUCACUCUCUGUUUUGCGAAUGAUUUAACUAUCUCUGAGGGUAAUUCAACUUGUUUCUGUAUA